rnacentral:rRNA from 1 species
UUUGCAUAAUGAGCCUACGAGUUAACGUUGCUGGCAAGGUUAAGUGGUUAAGCCACGGAUCCGUAGCGAAAGCGAGUCUGAAUAGGGCGCUUUAGUCAGUAGUGUUAGACGCGAAACCGUGUGAUCUACCCAUGGGCAGGUUGAAGCUGUGGUAACACAUAGUGGAGGACCGAACCCGUUGACGUUGAAAAGUCUUGGGAUGAUCUGUGGGUAGGGGUGAAAGGCCAAUCAAACUCGGAAAUAGCUCGUACUCCCCGAAAUGCAUUUAGGUGCAGCGUUAUGCGUAAAGUUAUAUAGAGGUAGAGCUACUGAUUGGAUGCGGGGGCUUCACCGCCUACCAAUUCCUGACAAACUCCGAAUGCUAUAUAAUGUUUCAUAACAGUGAGGGCUUGGGUGCUAAGGUCCAAGUCCGAGAGGGAAAGAACCCAGACCAUCAGCUAAGGUCCCCAAAUAUAUGCUAAGUUGAAAUAACGAGGUUUGUCUGCCCAGACAGCUAGGAUGUUGGCUUGGAAGCAGCCAUUCAUUUAAAGAGUGCGUAACAGCUCACUAGUCGAGCGGACGAGCAUGGAUAAUAAUCGGGCAUAAGCAUAUUACCGAAGCUAUGGAUUUACAAUUUAUUGUAAGUGGUAGGGGAGCAUUCUAAACUGGGUAGAAGGUGUACUGUGAGGUAUGCUGGACUGUUUAGAAAAGAAAAUGUAGGCAUAAGUAACGAUAAUGCGGGCGAGAAACCCGCACACCGUAAGACCAAGGUUUCCGCAGCUAUGCUAAUCAGCUGCGGGUUAGUCGGGACCUAAGGCACACCCGAAGGGGGACGUCGAUGGCCAACGGGUUAAUAUUCCCGUACUACUUAUAAUUGUGAUGGAGAGACGCAGUGGUGAAAGUACCGCGAACUGACGGAAUAGUUCGUUAAAGUACCUAGCUAUAUGCUCUAUAGGCAAAUCCGUAGAGCAUGGUGAAAUACGAUAGUACUCGGAGUCUUCGGACAAAGGGAUAGUGUGCCUAAGGGCUUCCAAGAAAAGUUUCUAAACUUAGAUUAUAAGUACCAGUACCGUAAACCGACACAGGUAGUUGAGGAGAGAAUCCUAAGGUGCUCGAGAGAUUCAUGGCUAAGGAAUUAGGCAAAAUAGACCUGUAACUUCGGGAGAAAGGUCGCCCACAGCGAUGUGGGCCGCAGUGAAAAGGUCCAGGCGACUGUUUAUCAAAAACACAGGGCUCUGCAAAAUCGUAAGAUGAAGUAUAGGGCCUGACACCUGCCCGGUGCUGGAAGGUUAAGAGGAGAUGUUAUCUUCGGAGAAGCAUUGAAUUGAAGCCCCAGUAAACGGCGGCCGUAACAAUAACGGUCCUAAGGUAGCGAAAUUCCUUGUCGGGUAAGUUCCGACCUGCACGAAUGGCAUAAUGAUGGGGGCGCUGUCUCCAGCAGAGACUCAGUGAAAUCGAAUUCGCCGUGAAGAUGCGGUGUACCCGCGGCUAGACGGAAAGACCCCGUGAACCUUUACUGCAGCUUGACAUUGAACUUUGAUCUUACUUGUGUAGGAUAGGUGGGAGGCUUUGAAGC